UAAGAAAAUCUUUCCAAGAGUCACACUACUUACCGCAGUAUUCGGGGAGGAGAAGGAAGGUACAUCACUUUCUGGUGGGUGGUGGGAAGGAUUAGGAGAGCAGUUUGCUAUUUUUUCAGACUAUUUUAGUAGAGGUGCAAUUCUUCCACAAACCCUAGGGAAUGCGGAAGGGGAGAGCAAUACAGGCAUUUGCCAGCAGCACUCAGUAUUCCCGUGCAAUGAGCGCAGUUUGUUGUGCCACUGCUCCCAGUAAGUCUGAGCAAACUCCCCCCCCCCAUUAGUGGUGCUGGGGAAUGGGUGAUGCCUGCUCCAAGCAGGAGUGAUCACUUGCUGGAAGCUCUUCUAAUAUGCUAAGAAAAGAGAGAGGAGUACUUAUCCAUUAAAAGAGGAGUAAAUUAUUUCUUGUUGCUAUUAGCCACAGCACUGUUGCAUUAUACAUGAGUCCUCACGGAUCAAAGCCACAGCACAAGGCAGCUUCUCCUUCUUGUUAAGGAUUAGUCUUUUUGUCAGAAAGAUGGCCUGUGAUAACCUCUGAUUUCCUCAGCAAAUUGGUGAUCUUUCACCCUUCCCUGUAAACAUUUCAUAACUGAUAUUAGUGAUAUUAAUCAUAGAAUCAUUUAGGUUGGAAAAGACCUUUAUGAUCGUAAAGUCCAACCACAGCACUGCUGAGUCCACCACUAAACCAUCUCCCUAAGUGCCACAUCUACACAUGUUUUAAAUCCUUCCAGGGAUGGUGACUCCACCACUGCCCUGGGCAGCCUCUUCUAGUGUUUGACAACCAUUUCAGUGAAGAUAUUUUUCUUAAUAUCCAAUCUAAACACCUCCUGGCACCACUUGAGGCCAUUUCCUCUUGUCCUAUCACUUGUUACUUGGGAGAAGAGACCGAUCUCCACCUUGCUACAACUUCCUUUCAGGUAGCUGUAGAGAUCAGUAAGGUAUCCCUGAGCCUCUUUCUCUCCAGCCUGAACAGCCCCAGUUCCCUCAGCUGUUUCUUACAAUACUUGUGUCAUAAACUUUCUUUUUUUUACCUGAGUUCCAGCCAAAGCCCUCUGUUCAGCCACACUUGUCUUCUUCCCUGCCUGCUCAUCUUUCAGUACCUGAGGAUGGCCUGCUCCUGUGCCUCAAGAUUUUCUUCUUCAGGAAUGUCCAGCCUUCCUGGACUCCUUUGCCCUUCAGAACAGCCUCCCAAGGAACUCUCAACCAGGCUCCUAAACAGUCUACAGUCUGACCUCAGUGAGUCCAAGGAGCAGACUGAGAACAGAUCCAUUCAUCUCCAUCCCAUCCAGCAGCCUGGUGUGCGGCGGCUUGGAGGCAGCAGUGAUGCCCUGGUGCUUUGAUUCAUGCAAUCAAUAAUCCCAAGACUUUACCUAAAAGGAUGGGAGAUGCAGUGUGACCCAGGAGAUGAGUGAUGGUAGUAAUGUGUGGCAAAGUAACUGGGCUACGGUUUGCGUCAACGGAUAAAACCUCCUGAGUCCAACCAAACGAUAAAUAUCCUUUUAUUUCACAUUUCUUAAAUCUUUGCUUUAAAGUUGACCUUAUUUUUAGUGGUAAAUAAAUAUGAACAAAUUGGGGA